rnacentral:rRNA from 1 species
GGGACGGAGAAGGCUAGGCCAGCUUGGCGUUGGUUGUCCAAGUUUAAGGUGGUAGGCUGAAAUCUUAGGUAAAUCCGGGGUUUCAAGGCCGAGAGCUGAUGACGAGUCGUCUUUUAGAUGACGAAGUGGUUGAUGCCAUGCUUCCAAGAAAAGCUUCUAAGCUUCAGGUAACCAGGAACCGUACCCCAAACCGACACAGGUGGUCGGGUAGAGAAUACCAAGGCGCUUGAGAGAACUCGGGUGAAGGAACUAGGCAAAAUGGCACCGUAACUUCGGGAGAAGGUGCGCCGGCUAGGGUGAAGGAUUUACUCCGUAAGCUCUGGCUGGUCGAAGAUACCAGGCCGCCGCGACUGUUUAUUAAAAACACAGCACUCUGCAAACACGAAAGUGGACGUAUAGGGUGUGACGCCUGCCCGGUGCCGGAAGGUUAAUUGAUGGGGUUAGCGCAAGCGAAGCUCUUGAUCGAAGCCCCGGUAAACGGCGGCCGUAACAAUAACGGUCCUAAGGUAGCGAAAUUCCUUGUCGGGUAAGUUCCGACCUGCACGAAUGGCGUAACGAUGGCGGCGCUGUCUCCACCCGAGACUCAGUGAAAUUGAAAUCGCUGUGAAGAUGCAGUGUAUCCGCGGCUAGACGGAAAGACCCCGUGAACCUUUACUGUAGCUUUGCACUGGACUUUGAGCCUGCUUGUGUAGGAUAGGUGGGAGGCUUUGAAGCGUGGACGCCAGUUCGCGUGGAGCCAUCCUUGAAAUACCACCCUGGCAUGCUUGAGGUUCUAACUCUGGUCCGUAAUCCGGAUCGAGGACAGUGUAUGGUGGGCAGUUUGACUGGGGCGGUCUCCUCCUAAAGAGUAACGGAGGAGUACGAAGGUGCGCUCAGACCGGUCGGAAAUCGGUCGCAGAGUAUAAAGGCAAAAGCGCGCUUGACUGCGAGACAGACACGUCGAGCAGGUACGAAAGUAGGUCUUAGUGAUCCGGUGGUUCUGUAUGGAAGGGCCAUCGCUCAACGGAUAAAAGGUACUUCGGGGAUAACAGGCUGAUACCGCCCAAGAGUUCAUAUCGACGGCGGUGUUUGGCACCUCGAUGUCGGCUCAUCACAUCCUGGGGCUGAAGCCGGUCCCAAGGGUAUGGCUGUUCGCCAUUUAAAGUGGUACGCGAGCUGGGUUUAGAACGUCGUGAGACAGUUCGGUCCCUAUCUACCGUGGACGUUUGAGAUUUGAGAGGGGCUGCUCCUAGUACGAGAGGACCGGAGUGGACGAACCUCUGGUGUUCCGGUUGUCACGCCAGUGGCAUUGCCGGGUAGCUAUGUUCGGAAAAGAUAACCGCUGAAAGCAUCUAAGCGGGAAACUUGCCUCAAGAUGAGAUCUCACUGGGAACUUGAUUCCCCUGAAGGGCCGUCGAAGACUACGACGUUGAUAGGCUGGGUGUGUAAGCGUUGUGAGGCGUUGAGCUAACCAGUACUAAUUGCCCGUGAGGCUUGAUC